rnacentral:rRNA from 1 species
GAUGAACGCUGGCGGCGUGCCUAAUACAUGCAAGUCGAGCGAACAGAUAAGGAGCUUGCUCCUUUGACGUUAGCGGCGGACGGGUGAGUAACACGUGGGUAACCUACCUAUAAGACUGGGAUAACUUCGGGAAGCCGGAGCUAAUACCGGAUAACAUUUGGAACCGCAUGGUUCUAAAGUGAAAGAUGGUUUUGCUAUCACUUAUAGAUGGACCCGCGCCGUAUUAGCUAGUUGGUAAGGUAACGGCUUACCAAGGCAACGAUACGUAGCCGACCUGAGAGGGUGAUCGGCCACACUGGAACUGAGACACGGUCCAGACUCCUACGGGAGGCAGCAGUAGGGAAUCUUCCGCAAUGGGCGAAAGCCUGACGGAGCAACGCCGCGUGAGUGAUGAAGGGUUUCGGCUCGUAAAACUCUGUUAUUAGGGAAGAACAAAUGUGUAAGUAACUGUGCACGUCUUGACGGUACCUAAUCAGAAAGCCACGGCUAACUACGUG